UGUGGGAUGCAGAAGGUAGAAGGUCUGGCUCUGUAAUUGCUUCCCUGCUGAACAUGGGCGUUGGCAGGUCGAUCCAUACUCCCAGCCUGUCUCUCUCUUUCCCUAAUGGGGUAGGAAUCUGUUCUGGGAAGUCAGAUUGACAUCAUGGUAUCAUCUGGAACCUGGUGGCUGAAAAAGAGUUAAGAUAGCAAGCAGAGAAAACUGUUCUAAUCAUACAAAGAGAUGUAUGUUUAAGGGGCUGAGUAAUGGUUAUCUGGUUGAGUGCACACAUUACAGUGUAUAUCAAUCCCUUGGCCUCUACUUGCAGGGAGAAGCUUCAUCAUGAUUUCUUUUUUUUUUUUUUUUUUUUUGCAUAGAUAUGAAGAGUCUUAUUUUUUUUUGGGGGGGGGAUAGUGAUUUAUAGGACAUUUGUUUAUUCAUGUGUGUGGUUCCUCAGUUUUGUAUAGCAGGAUUUUGCUACAUGCUUUUAACCCCCCCAUCAAGGACUCCAAAUACCCCCCACCCCCUUUUCUAUUCUCUCCCCAGAGUCCCUUGCUUUGGUUCAGUGCCUCAUCCCCAGUCCAGGGAGAAGCUUCAUGAGUGGUGAAAUAGUGCUGCAGGUAUCUCUAUCAUUCUCACCCACAUUGAGAAAUUAUUACUUCCAUACAGGAGUUUUUAAAGUGCCUAAGUAAUUGUUCUGGGUUUGCCUUUGAUCCAUGAUCUUGAAUGUCAUUAAUAAGCUCGCAGAAAGUGUGUGUGUGUGUGGAUCUUAAAUUCACAUUUGGCAGAGCAGUGGAAGGCUGGAUGCUUUUAAAAUAGUUUGGCUCAGAAAGCACAUCUGAAAUAACCCUGUGGGAAAAUCAAGAGAAUUUCUCAGCCUCCAAAGGAUUACCUAGGAUGAGUUGCUGACCUCGCAUGUUAGAAUUCAGUUAUAUUUCUUAAAACCUCAUUCACUAUCCAGCCUAAUUUAUUUCAGGGGUUGAAGUCAGCUGUAGGAGGGAACUCUGGUGAUGUACAGUUUUUAAGUCCCCCCCCAUUUCUAAAAGCUUCAAAAGAUUAUGACAUUUAUGUAUGUGUAUCUCAGUGUGUGUGUGCAUGUGUGUGUGUGUUUCUUUAAAAAAACAAAAAAGCAUCUUCAUAAGAUUUACUCCAGCUUUACUCUCAGAAACAAGAGCUGAAGAAUUCUCUCCUGUUCAGGCUUCUAAGGCGCUUAAACCCCAGAAGGCUGAGUGUGCAGAGUGAACAGAGCGCUGACCUUUGUGAGGGAAAGGUCAGUUCAGCACAGAAGACUCAAAAAGGAGGAAGAAAAAGCAACUCCUCAGCAGGGAGUUUGACUUGCUUUAGGGUAGAAGAGCUUUUAUAAAUAAGUUCCCAGUCUCCCACGCCCUCUUGCUGGCUGGCUUUUCUAUUACUAGUCUUGUCUUUGCUGCGCGCGCGCGCGCACACACACACACACACACACACACACACACACACACACACACACACACACCUCUCUUAUUUCCACUCACGGUCUCACAUCCUCUUUCUCCACCUGAUCCUGGAUCUAUGAGUUGGAUGGGCAGACCCUUCGCUGGAAGAGGCAGUGAAAGCCAAAAUAGGGCUAGGAGAUAGCUCACCUGGUAGAGUUUAGCAUGCACAAGGACCUUACACCACAGGAAAACACCUUAUACAAGGAGAAGUCUCUUAAGCAGUGGAGCAUUGCUGCAGUGUCUUCUCCUCUUUCUGUUUCUUUCCCUUUCUGUUUCUGUGAAUGAAAUGAGAAAUAAAAGAGUCCACCAAACCACUUUCAGGGAAGAAGCCACAUAAGUCUUCUGCUACAGGUUUCAUAAGACUGGAAUCAAGUUGUCAGCCAGGCUUUAUCCUCAACUGGCAGCUCAACGAGUGAAAAUUCCACUUCAUGCUUCCUCAAGUUGUUGGCAGAAUGCAGUUCCUGGCAGCUAUAAGAUUAAGGACCCUCUGUCAUGCUGAUAUAUUGGCUGGAGAUUAAGCUCAGCUCCCAGAAAAUGUCCUUAGGUCCUUUUUACAUUUUGCCCCCUCAGUUUCAUUUACAGACAAACAUCCCUUAGAUAGAAUUUUUGAAAAAAAAAUUAUUAUCUCUUACUUUGGUGAUCCUAAAGAAAAUCCUAAAUUUCUAAAUGAUUUUAUUCAGUAUUGCACUGUAAUAUUUUUAAAACUCUAUCAGUAUAUCAGCAUCUGUAAUACUGUAUUAAACUCUAUUAGUAUAUCAACAUCUGUACAUACUGCAUUAAGUUCACCAGUAAAAGCCCAUCUACGCUU